rnacentral:lncRNA from 1 species
GGAGUCCCCUCGUUUCAGGCUCUUCAGUGUCAGUGCUCAGUAUCUGCCUUAGAGAACUACGAGAAGGGGCUGCUAGCAGCCGCCAUCCGGGGCACUGGGUGGCUGCAGGUGGUGGUGGCGAUGGAACGGUAGGAGGGCGGCCAGCAGCGGGAGCUUCUCCUGCCGGGCAGGAGGACGAGUAGAAGGGAGAGGCACCACCACAUGCUGGAGGCUGGAGCUUGCACCGCCGCAGCUCGCCUCACUGCAGUUGGAGGUGACGUUGGACACUACAGCUUGGCCAGAGUGGUAGAAAUGUUGUUGCAUAGGAUUACCAGGAGACACCAGGUGCUGCAGCAGCUUCGGGAUAACUUGAGGAUGCAUCCUGGGGAAGAGACACCUCUUGUCCAUGGCGCUGACUACUGAGGACAGCUUCGGUGUGGCUUUUCUGCGGCCAGCUUCUUUGAGGCCUUUUUCUUUCAUGGAUGGUAGAGAGCAGUCUACAGCCUGAGACCCAUCACAAGGAAGAUGUUGAGGCCAAGAGAGAUAGGACGACCAUGGGCCUCAUGCUGCCCAGGAAUAGCCCCGAUUACCCUGGCCCCCAGCUCCAUGCAGCCUGCAUGGCCAGGUUCCUUGUGAGACACCUGGGGGACUCCAAACAGCCGGAAUCCAUCUGCCCACUGGUCCGGAGACAGGGAUCCUCCGCCUCCUUCCAGGGUUGAUGGCUCAGGAGGCCUUCUCUGCAGGGGACCAGGACACAGGAAAGCCAGGAAGAGAUGAGCUGGGAAGGGAGCUGUUGGGGGCCAUUCUGGUUUUAAAAAUAAAGCAGGACUUUCGUUGCUUGUUAUAAAAGGAAAAAAAAAAAAAAAAAA